UUUUUGUAGUUGAAUAACAACGAGGGUUUUUCAGGCCUUAGGCUCUGGUUAGUAUCCAGACAAAAAUA
rnacentral:tRNA from 1 species